AAUUUCAAUCUACUAGCUUUUUUAUCAGCUCAUUACACAAGACCGAUCCUUCGUUUCGCAACUUGUUUAUCUAAAUAAUUUCGAUCGUAUCACGGCCCGCUGCUACUUCGGACAAAACCCGUUGAUUCGUUGUUUCUUUUAACGCGUUUGAAAACGUUAUGUCGUUCGGGUUUUCUACGUACGUGCGUGUCUAGCGUCUGGUAUACAACGAAAUUAUCAUCGUCGUCGUUGUCGUCGUUGAAUUAUGUAAACAGAAUCUUGGCCACGGUCCGAAGAAAAACUCUCAUUCACCUGCCGCCGAGAGGGUCGUGCCUAUUGAUCAUGGAUCACGUUCGAUCAGCCGAGGGAAAUCUCGAACGGCAGACUACGAACGACGAUGGGUCGAAAUCAAGGGGAAUCGAUGCAUCGAUGCGUACAUUUAAUUCCUCUUCGUUUGGAAAUUAUUAAAACAUCUGACGGGGUUACGGGUAAAAGGAACGAUUCAGGAUACACCUAAUUCAAACGUCGACGUCGAGUAACAACGUCGAGCGAAACGGAUCGUUGAGAGCGCAAGGUUCAACGUGGUUCAACGUCGAUGCGAGGUUUGCUCGACGGAAAGCGCAGACGAUCGCAGAACGACGAUCGCAGAACGACGAUCAAUUCCGACUCAAAUUCGUUCACGACCAGUCAACAAUUUCUCUUUUCGCGGAUUUUUUUUUUUUUAACGAAUUUUUGUUCCUCGUCCCAUGAAAACGACAACGUCACCUGCUCAACCGAUUUAUGGUCCCUCGUUCGAGUAAUCUACCGUUCCUCGCGGGUUUCCCCCGCAACGUAACUGACGGUGAUCAGCGAUAAUAAAUCCCGCGAUACCCGUUUGUUUUCGCAUUACCUCACUUACUUCCUGGUACAUCUCGGUACAAUCUCCAAAAUUGCUACAAUCUCUCGUUACGAUAAUCCGAAUGCAAUAAAACAAGUUAAACAAAACGAUUGACGCUGUCUCGAGUGAAUUAAUUUACAAAUCGGCUUGGCACCAAUUCCAAUUGAUUUCAACGAAAGAAACUGACGCCAAAUAGAAUCGACUAAACUCCUGAUUCAGCUUUUAAAGAUAUCCGUACUGUAGAUAGACGUAGGACUUGGUAUGUACCGUUCAUAUUUAAGUUUCACUGAUGUAAGGUCCGAAAUCCUGGCAGCUGAUAUACCAAGAAACCAAUUGAGAAUGAGAAUAAUUCGUUCGACCUAGACCUUCCGCUACUAGUCCGAACUCUGAUCAAAUUUUCUAGACCUCUCGAUUUGAACAACUCGAAAGUGUACGUCGCCGGAUUUCAAUUUUUUUAGAAAAUUUCAAUGUGAAAUGUUUACAAAACUUGUCACACGCUUCUCAUUAUACACAGUCGACGAUACUUGGUACCAACGAUCGUGUUCAGACAUGUUGAAGCAGCAACGUUGAAUCGAACACGAUGUCUGGCAAUAUCGAAGAAAAUCUCGACGACGGCACGUGCUGGCCAAAAAAACAUGCUCACAGCGAGCCAGCUACGGAACCGAUCGAGUGAGAUUUCUCUUCUGAUACGAUCAUAAAUAAGUGUCAUAAAACGGAGAUAGGGAGGCGCCGAUAAAAUAACGAUCGAGUUGCGAGCUUGUUUUGAUAAAAAUAAUACUCGUUUAGGAUGUUCGCAACAACUUGUGAUUCUUUCGUAACAGGCGGAAGUGGAGAUAGGGACGAGUACAACAUCGGGUACAACAAGAAGACGAAAAAAGCAGAUCGGCCAGGAGAGACGGAGACGGAGACGAAGAAAGCCUAUUAUCUUAUCUGUGGGUAAUGAACAGCCACUGCUGAAAACUGAUAUAUGCCGAAACGCGAUCGAUAAUUUCGACAGUAGCCCGUUAGCCACUGGUGGAUCGUGACGAUCCCCCAUCGACGAUACCCGACGUCGCCGAAACCUUCAGGGGAUCGCAGAAACCUUCAGGGGGUGGGAACGAAGGAGAAUCGACAGCAUCGAUCGGCCGAUAUCGAAGGAACGAAGAAAGAAACGGCGGCAAGAGAGCGAGACUUUGUCGAGGGAUCAACAGCGAGGAUCUCUCGGUGGAAGUCAUCGUCGACGUACGCGUGGACGAUAAAGACGUCGAUCAAACACCACCGAGUGUUUACCAAUGAGCGUGGCGUGCAGUGGUUGCGCACGAGGACAAAACCGUGGAACACGCACGGGGAGCAGACAGUGCUGCGCUUUGGCGACCGGGGCCCUCCGAAUUCCUCCAACUCCAACACUACCUGACCUGUUCAUCACCUCCCGUGAGAUCGAGCAUCGCAGCGACGUGAUCAUUCACCAUGGGGCUCGACUUCUUGGCAGACGGAGGUGCCGAUUUCGAGCACGCGAUCAGCGUAACAGGGUUUGGAAAAUUUCAUUACAUGCUGCUGAUGAUAUGCGGCUUAAUUUAUAUGGACACGGCCAUCGGGGUCACUAUACUGUCGUUCGUGCUGCCGGCGGCUCAAUGCGACUUGGAAAUGGAUUCUACGGCCAAAGGUUGGCUCACGGCAUCCCCGAUGCUAGGUAUGGUGGUCGGCUCUUACAUAUGGGGGUGCCUGGCUGACACGAAGGGAAGGAAGGUCGUGUUGAUCGCCACUUUGUUAAUGGACGGAAUAGUGGGCGUGAUUUCCGCGUUCGUCCAAUACUUCUGGGUAUUCCUAAUCUUCCGUUUCUUCAACGGAUUCGCCGUUACGGGAGCUAUGGGAAUUUGUUUUCCGUAUUUAGGGGAGUUCCAGCCGACAAAGUAUCGCGAAAGAUGCCUUUGUUGGAUGGAAAUGUUUUGGACCGUCGGAGUGAUAGUAUUACCGCUGAUCGCGUGGCUGAUCAUACCGAUGGACUUCAUGUACGCUUCGGACGCGUUUUACUUCAAGUCAUGGAAUCUGUUCGUAGCGCUGUGCGCUCUGCCUUCGUUGAUGUUGGGCCUGUGGCUGUUUGCGUUCCCGGAAAGCCCCAAGUUCCUCCUCGAGUGUGGCGAAACGGACGCCGCCCUCCAAGUGUUCAAAUGGAUCUACGCGCAGAACACCGGUGAAAGUCCGGACUCUUAUCCGGUGACCUCGUUGCAAGAGAAAACGAGGGACAAAAGCACUCGGUCACUGAAGCUGCAUAAACGGAAGGACCUGAAGGUGUUUUUAAAAGAGAUCACGGACUUGACAGCCACUCUAUGGAAGUCACCGUACGCGAAGAACACGCUACUGGCUUGUGGCAUACAGUUCGGCCUCACCAGUAGCUACUACACGCUCAUGGUGUGGUUUCCAGAAUUGUUCACCAGAUUCGAACAGUUCGAACACGAGAAUCCUGGACAGACGACCUCGGUCUGCAUAGUGUCGGACCAAACGGGUAACAACGGGACGCUCGUCGACCCGUACGGUUGCGACAUGGUGAUAGCGCCGAACGUCUAUUUGCACACCGUCUACAUAGGUCUCGCCUGCAUUCCCGGCUCGAUCAUCCUACCGAUCUUCGUUCACAAGCUCGGCGCCAAAUUCUUUCUGAUCGUGUCAUUGAUGGUGUCUGGCGCCGCAACGGUGGCCUUCUACUACGUCACGAACGCAACGCAGAAUCUGAUAUUGUCCUGCGUUUUCGAGGCACUCACGUCCCUCGGUAUCUCGCUAGUCUAUUGCGUGAUCGUCGACAUGUUUCCGACGAAUCUCAGAGUAAUGGCUGCGGCUUUGUCCCUAACUAUGGGUCGACUAGGCGCACUAGUUGGUAACUUGGUGUUUGGCUACCUAAUCGACAUGGCCUGCGUGGUACCAAUAAUUCUGUUUGCAGCAUUUCUGUUCAUAUGUGGAUUCAUGUCCUACCUGCUACCGAAGACAGGAAAGGAAACGCUCGAAUAACGAUCAUGCUCAAAGAACGACUCCUGGAGAGAAUCAACGAGCGAACAGAGUACUUUUCGGAACCGAACAAGGGUGCGGUCGACGAGAAUUAUUCAACUUCAUACGAAGAAUGGUUGAACGCGUGUCAAAUUGUUGUCAGAAUCGUUAGACCGACGACUUCGUCGUCGUCCGUGCGUUGCCAGUGUUGGCCAUUGCAUGUACGCUCAAGUAUGCUGCACAUUAUUUCAGUUUCAGUUCAGAGUAGUUAACAAUUUGCAGUUUCAGUAAUUACGACACGAACGAUCUUUGUUCAGUUUUUUUAUAAGAUUUUCAUCGACGAUCUCAUAAAGAAACUGUCUUUUAAUUUUUUCAACCUCAUUCAGAUUCGUGUAAAUAUAGCAUGUAUUUAUUUUGCAUAUGUAAAUACGAAAUAUUCGGAUUCGAUGUAAUUAAACUUAAGCGAAUAAAUAUGAUUUCGAGAAAUGUCUGCUCACACUGUCAAUUGGACUCAUUUGAUCGUACUUUGCGUCACGAUCUGUUCGAUCCAUUCCUUACCCACCCAAAAAUACGGAGAUAGUAAACGCCAUAAUACAAGAAAGCAAUUUUUCACCGUCGAUCGAUCGGACGACAAUUUUCCGAAGUAGAUUGGAUGGACGGUGAAAAGAAAAGGACGAGUUAGAAUGUGUAUGCCUGCUUAACAGGAGCACCGGAAAGCAGACUCACACACACGGCACGACGGUACGUACGGGCUCUCAUCUGCUCGG